CCUACGGGGGGCAGCAGUGAGGAAUAUUGGUCAAUGGACGAGAGUCUGAACCAGCCAAGUAGCGUGAAGGAUGACUGCCCUAUGGGUUGUAAACUUCUUUUAUAUUGGAAUAAAACGUUCCACGUGUGGGAUUUUGUAUGUACCAUAUGAAUAAGGAUCGGCUAACUCCGUGCCAGCAGCCGCGGUAAUACGGAGGAUCCGAGCGUUAUCCGGAUUUAUUGGGUUUAAAGGGAGCGUAGGUGGAUUGUUAAGUCAGUUGUGAAAGUUUGCGGCUCAACCGUAAAAUUGCAGUUGAAACUGGCAGUCUUGAGUACAGUAGAGGUGGGCGGAAUUCGUGGUGUAGCGGUGAAAUGCUUAGAGAUCACGAAGAACUCCGAUUGCGAAGGCAGUUCACUGGACUGCAACUGACACUGAGGCUCGAAAGUGUGGGUAUCAAACAGGAUUAGAUACCCUAGUAGUC
rnacentral:rRNA from 1 species